CCGCACGCGCGCUACACUGAUGCGUUCAACGAGUAUAUCACCUUGGUCGAUAGUCCUGGGUAAUCUUUUGAAUACGCAUCGUGCUAGGGAUAGAUUAUUGCAAUUAUUAAUCUUGAACGAGGAAUUCCUAGUAAACGCAAGUCAUCAGCUUGCAUUGAUUACGU
rnacentral:rRNA from 1 species